CGCACACACAUACCACAUAGCAUUUAAAAAAAUCUUAAAGACAGUGAGGCCCUUACACACUGCACCUUCCCUCAUAUCCCUUCCAUGCUUUCUGCCAACUUGGUGUUCCUUAUUGCUCUGGUCUCCAUUUACAUAUACUCUGACAGAGAACCCAUCCCUCCCCUUGCAAGUUAAGAAGGGGUCAGCUGUAGGGAGCCGUCCCUGCAUUCUCCAUUACAAUGAUGGUGCCUGCAGGCACCGAAUGUAAAUUAUUUCGCAGGCGCUGGGUAAUUUCCAUUCCUUUGAUCUCUGCCUAUCCCGUGGCUCAUAUGGCCUGAGGAGCUGAAGCCAUUCAUAGGGUGACACGUCCCAGGCGGCAGCUGCCAGCCUUUAUUAGGGGAUGGGAUUCUUGGCUCGGGGUCUCCGCUCUGGUAAGCUUAUGCUCUCCCCUCUCAAGAUGCAUUAAAGCUUUCCUGCAGAAGGAUCCGAGUGUCCUGUGUGAUUCUUGCCGGCGAGAACAUAGCGCGCGGGACAUCUGGUGCCGAAACCCGGGAACUUGUUAACAUCACUGGCACCGCGGAGACCCCUCUAACGGGGCGGAUUCAGAACUGCAGGGUGGUAAAUUCAGAGAGGAUGAAGAGAAUCCCCUGUGGAUCCCGGAAAGACUCACCCGAAGAGCCCCUUCGGACCUUCAAAAGUCGAAACUCCACCCUCUCCCUGGGAGUUGAGAGCCGCUAUUAUUAUCCAGAUUAACUCCUGUCCUUGACAGAGAGAUUGUCAUCGCUUAAGGGGUGGGGGUGGGAUUGUUUGGUGCAGCCGUUUGCUGCGGAUUGGUGUUACUUCUCUGGCUGGUCUGUAAGCUCAAGGCUUAAACUAAGAGAGACAAGAUGGUUAUCGCCCAAGCGCUUGUAGUUUUAAAACAAGGGGCUUCCACUGAUAUUUGGCUAACUAUGCUUAAGCAAUAGGCCGCCGGCCAGACAGCUCUUGCACACCUGGAGCCUAGGCUCAUUGCACAGGGUAGAGUGUCUGGUUUGAGCAGCCCAUGAGGGAUGUUGAGCAAGGCAUCGCACAGAGAGUUGCCUAGUAUGCAGGCUUCUCUGGGAGGCAUGUUGUCCUGCAUAAGGGUUGCCUGCCUAGUCUCCCUUUCCCAGAAAAAUGGCAG
rnacentral:lncRNA from 1 species